GCCUGGGUGGCUCAGUUGGUUAAGCAUCAGACUUCGGCUCAGGUCAUGAUCUCACAGUUCAUGGGUUUGAGCCCCAUCUUGGGCU
rnacentral:tRNA from 1 species